GGGACAUGUCCCUCACCACCCCUUUGACAAAAGAGAUCAAAUCUGGGGACUGGGACAAGUGCAGAGAAAAGCCAGUCAUGUGCAUAGGGUGUACUAGUCGGGCAGGGGAUGUACAGAUAGUAAGAGAACAGACAUCCUGAGUGGCCUGACCAUGUAUAAUUUAUUGUGAAAAAUCACCAGUGAUCAUCUGGGCCUUCAGAGUUUUUUGCUGGUGAAGGUUUGAACUAUCCUGAGAAUUACUGCAGUGUGGCACAAAGACAGUGAGUGUGCAAGGGCUUUUGAAAAUGGCAUUGAUAGACUUGCCUGACACGGGGCUGUCACAAAGCUUCAAUGUGUAAAAAUGCAAUUAUCUGGGAAAUGGGAUAAAACAAAGUAUGCCACUACUUCCUCACAAUGUGGCAAUUCCCAGUAUGCUCUCCAGAUUCACUGGGUCCUUCCCCUGCACCAGCCAUUCAUACAGCUCUUUCCUGUUUGUGGUUCUGGCCACCGAUUUUCCCUUAAGAGUGCAAAGCAGUAGUCACUCAGUCGUGCCAACUCUUUGCCACCCCAUGAACCACAGCCCACCAGGCUCCUCUGUCCAUGGGAUUCUCCAGGCAGAAUACUGGAGUGGAUUGCCAUUUCCUUCUCCAGGGAACCUUCCCCACCCAGGGAUCAAACCUGGGUCUCCCACAUUGGAGGCAGAUUCUUUACUGUCUGAGCCACAAGGGAAGCCCUGACAGUGCAAAGCUACCACUUACAAGUUUGAGGGAAAGUUCUAGGCUUUUAAGAAACUGUUAAAUAAGUGGUUAUUGUUUUUCUUGAGAUGAAUAUUUUUGGGAAUGAAUGUCCUUGUUACAAGAGCUCAAGGAGGACCUUUCCUGGAAAGAACUGACACCAAUAACUUGAAAAAGCCUGCUUCCUAAGCUUUUGUAUUUUAGAGAGGAAAAUACUCCCAGCUUCAGGUAGGACAUGUCUUGGCCUAAGGAAGCUGCAUGGAGAGAAAGGUCAGGAUGUGUUUCUCGCUUCCAGGCUGCUUAUCUGGCCAAGGUUGCACGUUCAUCAUUUGCUUUACCUACUUUAACACCCUUGAGCCUUGACCAUGGCAUUCUGGCUAGGAAAAUACAAGGGAAAUCAGCGGAAAUAGCUCCUGUUUGAAGGUGCAUUAACU
rnacentral:lncRNA from 1 species